AUCUGUCAGCAGAUUUCCAGAUCUGGGGUCCUUCUUUGAGGCUGCCCCAUGUGGGGUCUUGGCCUCCCUGUGGCCCCCCGCCCACACAGUCUUCACCCAGGAGGAAAGGACUGGAAGUUUCUUUUCAAGAGGCUCUGUUCCCCAGGCAAUGCCUGAUGAGCUUGGCAUCUCAAUGGACUGGGAACUGCCACAGGAUGCACAAGAAAUAAGUGACCAUCAACAGCUAAACAUCCUUCCUGGUGUAUCAGAGACACCUGGUUUGGGAACAGAUCAAUAAAAGAAUGAAGAAUGAGGACCUAAUCAGCAUUGAAAGCAAAGGGAUCAAUAACCAAUAGGAAAUCAGAUAAAAAGAACUGUGCAACUUGUGGACAAUGAACAUUGAACCAAUGAAUUUUUCUGGGUUUUGACUGUGUAAGUAUGUAAAAAAAUCUAGUAAAGACCCAUGCAUAGAAUGGUUUCUCUGCACAACCCAAGCAAUAUGUGGAUGAUGUUAUUUCUGUUGUACAUUCUGGCCAGAACAACAUCCUGGCCAGAAUAAUAUAAUGCCUUAAUUCUCUAACACUAAAA